AGCAGCCGCGGUAAUUCCAGCUCCAAUAGCGUAUAUUAAAGUUGUUGCAGUUAAAAAGCUCGUAGUUGAAUUUCGGGAUUGACCCAUCGGUCGUGCCUUAAGGGGCAUGAACUGGUGUAGUCAAUUUCUCACCUUCUGGAGAAUCGUGAUGUCCUUAAUUGGGUGCCACGAGGAACCAGGACCUUUACUUUGAAAAAAUUAGAGUGUUUAAAGCAGGCAUUUUUGCUUGAAUACAUUAGCAUGGAAUAAUAAAAUAGGACGGCAUGAUUCUAUUUUGUUGGUUUCUAGGAUCACCGUAAUGAUUAAUAGGGAUAGUUGGGGGCAUUAGUAUUCAAUUGUCAGAGGUGAAAUUCUUGGAUUUAUUGAAAACUAACUACUGCGAAAGCAUUUGCCAAGGAUGUUUUCAUUAAUCAAGAACGAAAGUUAGGGGAUCGAAGACGAUCAGAUACCGUCGUAGUCUUAACCAUAAACUAUGCCGACUAGGAAUCAGACGAUGUUAAUUUUUUAAUGACUCGUUUGG
rnacentral:rRNA from 1 species